GCAGGAGGAUCACUUCAGCUCGGGAAUUCGAGACCAGCCUGGGCAACAUUUAUGAGAGCAAGACGUUGUCUCUACCAAAAAUCAGGAAAAUUAGCUGAGUGUGGCACAUUCCUGCAGUGCCAGCUACUUGGGAGGCUGAAGCAGGAGGAUCAUUUGAGCCCAGAAGUUCGAGCCUGCAGUAAGUUAAAUGGCUUCUCAUUAUGAACAAUGACAUUAAGUAUUAUUAUUAUGCCAGAAGUUAUGCUAAGUGCUUUAUAUACAUUAUUUCAUUUAAUCUUCAUGAUAACCCAGUGAAGGUUAAUAUCUCCACUUUAUUGGUGAAGAAACUGACACUCAGCAAUCCAAAUCGGUUGUCC
rnacentral:lncRNA from 1 species